UGCAUCAUAUGAUUUAUUUACAUACAUUUACACGAUGAUUAUUAUUAAAUAGGGAAGUUGUGAGUAAAUACUAAAUCAGUGAAGGCUGUUGAAGGUAAGAGUCAUUUAGUUAAAUCAAAUUUGGUGAUCAGCAGAAUAUAUUUUAGAAAUGACCAGAUCUGAAGGGCUUGAGUUGGGAGAACCGAAUAAGAUAAUCGGGUGCGGAGAGAAUGAAUGGAUACUGAGAAAUGGAGAAGGACAAGAAAAAGUAGGUUAUGAUAUGGAGAAAUCGAGGAAAAAGGAAAUGGCAGGCUUGGAUCCAACAUAGAGACGAAAGAAAACACAAUUUGCAACCCUUAUACAUAAACUGAGUAAAAAAAAGGUAAAACAGAAUAGAAAACCAUCAGACUUGAAUAGAGGAGAAUUGAUGACAAGGGAUAGCAAAUAUAUUGAAUGUAUCAGAGUUUAGUGUGAGGAAAUAUGAGCAGGCAUGUAGGGGAACUGAGCCUAAGCUAGAGAAAUAAAACCUGAAUAAUUGGUUGGUUAUUUCUAGUGUGCAGGAUAACUGCGUGUGAGUGUGUGGCUGACUAAUGGCUGG
rnacentral:lncRNA from 1 species